rnacentral:rRNA from 1 species
AACGUAGGAGGCUAGCGUUAUCCGGAUUUACUGGGCGUAAAGCGCAUGCAGGCGGCAUGGCAAGUUGGGCGUGAAAUCUCUCGGCUUAACCGGGAGGGGUCGUCCAAAACUGUCAAGCUUGGGUGCAGGAGAGGGAAGCGGAAUUUCCAGUGUAGCGGUAAUAUGCGCAGAUAUUGGAAAGAACACCAGUGGCGAAGGCGGCUUCCUGGCCUGUAACCGACGCUAAGAUGCGAAAGCUAGGGGAGCGAACGGG